UACGUAGGGUGCAAGCGUUGUCCGGAAUUAUUGGGCGUAAAGAGCUCGUAGGCGGUCUGUCGCGUCGGCUGUGAAAUCCCGAGGCUCAACCUCGGGUCUGCAGUCGAUACGGGCAAACUAGAGUAUUGCAGGGGAGACUGGAAUUCCUGGUGUAGCGGUGAAAUGCGCAGAUAUCAGGAGGAACACCGAUGGCGAAGGCAGGUCUCUGGGCCACUACUGACGCUGAGAAGCGAAAGCAUGGGGGAGCAAACAGG
rnacentral:rRNA from 1 species